rnacentral:misc_RNA from 1 species
CGCACAUUGCGCCCGCCAGCAUUCUGGCGGGCAUGCCUGUUCGAGCGUCAUUUCAACCCUCGACCUCCCUUUGGGGAAGUCGGCGUUGGGGACCGGCAGCACACCGCCGGCCCUGAAAUGGAGUGGCGGCCCGUCCGCGGCGACCUCUGCGUAGUAAACCAACUCGCACCGGAACCCCGACGUGGCCACGCCGUAAAACACCCAACUUCUGAACGUUGACCUCGAAUCAGGUAGGACUACCCGCUGAACUUAA